UAAUAAAACAGAGAGAGCAAAAUCAGGAAUUUUUAAAGUGAAAAGUGGCCGGCAGGAAAUUCCAUUUGUGAAGGGAACCAUAGAGUGAGCUCUCGCUUAGUUCGGAGUGGUGGCUUCAGCUGACCAUUGCUAAGCCUCUGGCCUUCAACGGCGCCGUUUCGGUCCCAAUCAUCACCAUCGCCACCACCACCAACACCAAACUCACAUACCCAAAAUCAAACGGCAAUUUACUUUAGACUUUUGGCUCAAAUGGCGGUAGAAACAGUCUGAGGCUUCUGGCUUUUGGGUAUGCUCUGCUAAUUCAAGGACGGAGCAAGUGAAGCAUAUGAAACUUCUCCAGGCUUAUUGCAAUUCUCAAAACCAUCUAAUAUUCAAGGUAGUCUAGUAUUUGGACUCAGUCAGAGGAAGGUGCAGACUUUUUCUACCUUGAAUCAAAUUUUUAGUCAGUGAUUUUGAAGUUGUCAAAGGGUCUGGGAAGGUUUCUCUAGAAGCUGCCAACCAUCAGGUGUAGAGGGAACUGAUAAGAGAGGCACUGGUACUGAAACCGGAGGUGAGCUUGCAGGAGAGCAGAGUUGAGCAGCAUCUGUACUGCUCAGGCGGCUAGUAGCAGUCUACCUCGCGCACAGCGUACCGCUUGUUUCCUUCCACUACAACAGUCGUAUUUAUCCUUUCUUUACCUAUUAUUAUCUUCUGGACUUAUUUAUUUCUUAUUUGUACUCGUAAACCUUAUUGACACUCUUAGAGUGCUGUGAUUUUAAAUAUGGAACUCAAUAGAAACCAUAGUACUCAUGUGUGUUGUUAUGGCCUGUAGUACAGUACGCAGGUUGUGGACUUAUUUAUAUUUAUAUUUUUAUAUUUGAGAUACUAAUGUUAA